GACGAACGCUGGCGGCGUGCUUAACACAUGCAAGUCGAACGGAAAGGCCUGCUUUCCCUUGUGGAUUGCGGGUACUCGAGUGGCGAACGGGUGAGUAACACGUGAGUGAUCUGCCCCCAACUUGGGUAUAAGCCUGGGAAACUGGGUCUAAUUCCCGAUAGGACUGCAGGGUGGUGCCUGUGGUGGAAAACGAUUUUCUAGUGGUUGGGGAUGAGCUCGCGGCCUAUCAGCUUGUUGGUGGGGUAAUGGCCUACCAAGGCGGCGACGGGUAGCCGGCCUGAGAGGGUGGACGGCCACAUUGGGACUGAGAUACGGCCCAGACGCCUACGGGAGGCAGCAGUGGGGAAUAUUGCACAAUGGGCGGAAGCCUGAUGCAGCGACGCCGCGUGGGGGAUGACGGCCUUCGGGUUGUAAACUCCUUUCGACCGCGAGGAAGCCACCUGGUUGGAAGGGUGGUGACGGUAGUGGUAGAAGAAGCACCGGCUAACUACGUG
rnacentral:rRNA from 1 species